rnacentral:misc_RNA from 1 species
GAUGAAGAACGUAGCGAAAUGCGAUAAGUAGUGUGAAUUGCAGAAUUCAGUGAAUCAUCGAAUCUUUGAACGCACAUUGCGCCCCUCGGUAUUACGUGGGGCAUGCCUGUUCGAGCGUCAUUUAACCCCUCAAGCCUAGCUUGGUAUUGGGUGCUUGUCCCGCCUCUCGCGCGGCGACUCACCUCAAAGUCAUUGGCAGCCCGCAUCUCGCCGGCCGUGAGCGCAGCACAGACGCGCUCUUGGCAACGACGGAUCGGCUCUCCAAAAGCUUAUUUCAACCACUGACCUCGGAUCAGGUAGGGAUACCCGCUGAACUUAAGCAUAUCAAUAAGCGGAGGA